rnacentral:lncRNA from 1 species
AUGGUGGAAGGAGGGUUCAGGCUUCUCCCCAAAGGCCCAAAGUUAAGUUCCAGCAGGCCCAGUAUUAAGCUCAUCUGUGAGGAGGACUCCAGCCACAGAGGAGCAUAUGGUACCAGUACAGAUGCUUUGCUGAGGACUCUGAACUGGAUGAUCUCAAGGCCUCCCAGUCAGAGGCUGGAUCCUAACUGGGGAGAGCAAGGAGUGCAAAGAAGAGAAGGGCUCCUUCUGUCUGUAUGGACAGCAAUAUAGAGCUGUGGGAAAGGAUGGACUGCAGGAGGAAGGGACAGAUUUAAACUGUUGCCUGGCCCCAACAGUUUCCCUGCCUAAAAAUCCUGCCUGAAGCUGAUCUCUAUAAAAGAAACAAGUAAGUCUGCUGGCUUUCUCCUCGCCUGCCAGUUAUUCUGCCCAAGCCCAGCUCUCCUCUGUGGGCUCCUCUUUCAGCCAGUGUUUCUUUACUUCAGAUUCUUUGGUCUCUCGAUCUCUACGACGCUGAAAGUAAAUCGGGGCGGGGAGGCGGGUAGAAUUGGAGAAGAAACCCUCAUCCACUCAUCCUCUUUCUUACCAACAACUCUCUCUCCACACACACAGAAGCACACGCACUAAGGCGACCUCCAGAUGUUCCCGACCGUGCGGCCAUCUGCUGAAAUUGCUCGGGUGCUCAGGGGGAGGGGGCGGGGAGCAGGGAUGCAGGAAGCUGGGAGUGAGGCCUGGUGGAGUGGGCGGGAGCUGCGCACUUUUGAGACGCUCCCUAGGGUGGGACC